rnacentral:rRNA from 1 species
UACGUAGGCAGCGAGCGUUGUUCGGAGUUACUGGGCGUAAAGGGUGCGUAGGCGGCGCGGUAAGUCGGGUGUGAAAUCUCGGAGCUUAACUCCGAAACUGCAUUCGAUACUGCGGUGCUUGAGGACUGGAGAGGAGACUGGAAUUCAUGGUGUAGCAGUGAAAUGCGUAGAGAUCAUGAGGAAGACCAGUGGCGAAGGCGGGUCUCUGGACAGUUCCUGACACUGAGGCACGAAGGCCAGGGGAGCAAACGGG